rnacentral:rRNA from 1 species
GAUCAUGGCUCAGGACGAACGCUGGCGGCGUGCUUAACACAUGCAAGUCGAACGUGAUUUUCAUAGAAGUUCCUUCGGGAGUGGAAAUGAAAUGAAAGUGGCGAACGGGUGAGUAACACGUGAGCAACCUACCUUACACAGGGGAUAGCCGUUGGAAACGACGAUUAAUACCGCAUGAGACCACAGAAUCGCAUGAUAUAGGGGUCAAAGAUUUAUCGGUGUAAGAAGGGCUCGCGU